UGGUAAGUCACGAUAAUGGACACCACUCCACUCCUCGUAACAAACUCCACGUGGCCCUGAACGGCCCCUGACGCCACUACUCUCCAUAACAAACUCCGCAUGGCUAUGAAUGACCCACUACCAGAUGGUUACAAACGUCGCUGUCAAUUAGUUACACACUCCAUCUAUAAAAGGGACUCCCAGAUACAUUUUUCUCUAAGCUCAAAACUCUAUCUCAAAACUCUGCUAAAAUUUUUACUCAAGCACUCCAUU
rnacentral:lncRNA from 1 species